ensembl:lncRNA
CCCCCCCCCAAAGGGAAAAGAAACAUUCUUCCUGGUGUUGCAUAGUUUCUGAUUGGGAAACUUGGUGCUUACCAUAUUUAUGACUGCUCUUUGAUUUUUGGAACCUAAGGUGAUGUUAGCUCACUAUUUAAGACUUACAAAGAUUGCAAGGUUAAAACUAGUUGUGAUUUUUAUACCCAUUUUAUCUUCUAUUAGGAACAGAACAAAUUAACCACGUGAGCUGUAGGGUACAUAAAAAGGAACUCCAUAAAUAUCAAAGCACCCCAGUACACAACUUAGCAGCAGUGUAUUUUUUAAUGAACAAAGCAGUAGGUGAAAAACCUAAUAUAUAACAUGGAAAAUACAAAAACAAGAGUGAGGACAGACUAAAAGUUGUGGUUUUGAUGUACCUAGACAAAAUAAAGUGCCUUUUGGAAGUAGUUGCAGAAUAGAGAACGCAUUGAAUGAGAUCAGUUGCAAGGCAUAUUCUGGGAAGUUUUGGGUUUUUUUGGUACCCGGGAUCGAACUUGGGUCCUUGUGCUUGUGCAGCAGGCGGCAAAACCCCUGAGCUAAAUCUUCAGCCCACAAAGGCAUAUUCUGGAAUUAACUGGUCCAAUAAUUGAAUUUUUUGGAGAGGAAACAUCAUUAGUGACUAAUGUGCUCUGGAAAACAAAGACCUGGUCACAUACUUUGUUCUUUUGAUUGAUAUUUUCAAUAAAAGGGGAAAAAAUCAGCUGAACCAACACCGGGGGAAUUUUUGUUUCUGGCCAUAGUUGAGAUCACUUCAAGAAAAAUGUAUUUUACUUAAAUUGAAAGGCAACCAAGAAGAAAUGUUCUGACAACUUGAGCAAACCAAUUGAAAAGUAUACACUGAUACAAAAUGAAUUACCAGUAAUUAAUUGGUUACAUAAGGGUAUAAGCUACUAAAGAACCCCAUUUCUGUUACCAGUGGUGUACUUCAGAUAAAAAUCAUUUAUUCUGAUAGAACAUUUGUGGUCUUUGUUUGUAAAGGCUUUGAGAGAAUAAACUGGCCAAGCACUCAGAAAAGAAGAUAGACACUAAUAUAUGCUUGGUAUGAGAUUCACGUUUUAUGAAUGGAAAUGUGAGGAGCCAAUUAAAUGUAUGUAAAAAUUCCAAGUUUCAAUUUUCAUUAGGUUAAUCUCAGGUCAUGGGCUAUGGACAUUUCCUCAAAGGUAGAAUACUUCCCUAGUAUGUACAAGGCACAGGUUUUGAUCCACAAGAGAAGAUGGAAAGGGAGUAACUAUAAAGUAAAUCAAUCCCUUCAAAGUAGUUGGAUUAGUACCUGAAGUUAAUUUUUAAAAUACUUUUUUUCUCAUGUUACAGGUUCUUGCUAAGUCGCCCAUCCUGGGCUAAUAACAUUCAUUUGUUUCACUAAAGCCACCCUGAGUGCUAGGAAUACUAGGCAUGGACCACCGUGCCUGCCACAGAAAGUUCUUUUAGGGCUGGUUAUGUAGCUCAGUGAUGGAACAAAAAGCACUAUGUUCAAUGUGUAGUAUCUCAAAAUUUUCUCCAUUUUAAAUAAGCACAACCCACCAGAAUAUUGGAAUCAAAGUCCUCAUAUAGCCUGGAGUCCCAUUUUUUAAAAUUCCAUUGGGAAAGUAUGAGAAAAGAGAAGGCAGUAAUGUCAUGGUGUAAAUGCCAAGGGCAGAAGCAGUGAAGCGUUGAAAUGCAAGAAAAGCUCUAGGUGGCACAGGAAUGAAGGUGUGAGAUCACAAUUUGCUUAUGCAAAAAUAACUCCUACAGGCCUUUAGCAGUGUUUUUCAGUUGGAAUAAAAUUCUCAGCAUAUGUAUUAAAAUUAUCUUAGGGUGCUUUAAAAGUAGGCGUAGACUGCAAGUUGCUGUAUUUCUGACUUGCUACCAAAGCAGCCAUUUCUUCAUGAGGCAUACUUUGGUGAGGGGGAAGACAUGAGUUACAGUGGUUGAUUAGGAAAGCACACAGGGCUUUCAGAAUAUUGUUCUAGAGGUCAUCCCUGGGUGACUAUUAAGAAUUGAUGAAAGGAUGCCCUAUUUGGGAGUUAAAUGCAUUAAGGGAAAGUAGUGGCUAAUCUUAUGUCUGUACCAAAGUGGGAGAUCCUAAAAAGGAUCUUGGGAGACGUCUGGUAAGGUUAGAAGGUGAGAAGACAAAAUCUUCUCUGCCUUCAUACACAGCGUGUUAAAGUUAGCCAAACUUGGUUUGCUUAUUGCUCUUUGAAGUGUACAUAAAGUUUUAUUUUUUGAUUUUUUUGUUUUGUUUUUUGGGAUGGGCUGGCCUUGAACUUGGGACAAUUUUCCUAACAGCCUCCUGAGUGCUGCGAUUCCAGGCAUGCGCCACCAUGCCCAGUUCCAUGUUUUAUGUGAGGGUGGAAAUGUUUCAUGAGGUGUCCAGUGUGAUACCAAGUAGUGAUAGUUGUGAAAUGUGCUCAGUGUGACUGAAAUAUUUUAAAUUUUAUUUCUUUAGCUACAUGUGGCUACUUUGAGUAGCAUAAUACUAGAGAAUGAGAAGUUUCUAGACAGGUGCUGAUAAUUGGUUAUACUUAAUGCUUUUACAUGAGCAAAUGUGACAUAUUGGAGAUGUUGCAUGUCCUUGGUCCAUUGUUUUCUUAGCCCUUAGGCCCUAAAUCAGUAAUGAAGAUUUUCCUCCAAUGAGGUUAUCUACAACCUCAGGGAAUUGCAAGAAUGUCCAUGUUGCCCACACCUUAUUGCCUCUUGUAAAAUAACUUUCAAAUUAGGAAUCCUCAGUUGGCUUAGGCUCAAAGCAGAUUAUCUUCAAAUGAUGCGAGGCAAACAUUUAAAUCAUGGGUUUUUAAUUUUUGCUUGUAACCCUGUUACGUGUGCAAGUAAUGGCUGUGUUUCCAAGGAUUUGAGAUAGUGUUUUCAAAUCCCCACGAACCAAAACUUCAACCUAUUUUUUGACUUACCCAUGAAUUUUGAACAUUUGAGUAGGAAACAGAAGCACUGAGUCUGAGAAAACAACUUAUCCUAGCUACAGGUAACAUUGUAUGUCAGCACCUUCUCUGAAAUUUGAUAAGAACCAUAUCCCUACAGCAUGGGACCUGGUUUUGCUUCAGAAAUGCAGCAAAGAUAAGAGGCUCUCCCACCCAUCUUCCUCAGCUCUUGUAGAGCACCCAGACACAUAAUGAAACCAUUUCUGAUGGCUCAGACAACAUACUUGGCAAACACCUUGUUGAGAUCACUGUUGACUUCACAAUUCUCAUCCUGUACUUCACGCUUGGAUUUUGAUCCUGUGAACUCCCUGUGGUAUCUAUCACUGAACUCUAAAAAGACGUCUAUCCAAGGGACUUAACUAACACGAAUGGAGUUCAGUACCAGACUCACACAGGUCACAAAAAUAAAGCUGCUGUGUAUUUGGAGCAUAAGUCCUGCUCCCCAGAAUGGCAGACCCGAGAAUAAGGUUUUCAAAUUUAAUGGCUCAAUGUUCAUUUCCAGCUCAUUCAUUGGUUAAUAGCUUUUCCAGUUCCCAUUCAAGCUUAGGAAUCUAUGGACCAUGGCCUUGUCUGUCCUGUGUUCUAAAGGCUAAUUGCUCCAGAAGAAUAGAUGUUUCAGGGUCCCUCUUGGCUCUCCACCCAGAGUGAGGGCGUUUAGUUUAGUGGGGCUAGAUAGCUAACUAGCUAGAACAAGGUGCCAGCCAGGCUUACUCAGAUGUACAAUAUUUGACUUCCUUUUUUGGAAUUUAACUUUUUGAUGUGUUUUAUCACUAAGCCAAACCUACCCUUUACUAGAACUUUAUAUCUUUGCACAAAAGCUGCUUCUAUAAAGUAUACCUAAGGUUUCAGAAGCAGGUUGCCAGAAAGUUAACUGCUUAUGUAUUGGAAAUGCUACAGUGGGCUACUCUGCUCUUAAAUGUCCUUGGAUAUCCUGGACUGACUUUAAGCAUUUUUCCUUGUAGGGAUAUCCCAGCUCUUUGAGCACAAGAAGGAGUAGCCUGGUGGAAUCUAGUCCCCUGGGGUGAAAUCUAGCAGUGUCCGUCCUUAACUAUUAACUGCCCAUCUCUGGAAACAGCCUGUGUUUUUCAUUCCCUCACUUGGGAGUAGGCUUCCCAGUAAUGAAAUUGCCGGAUUAUACCUCCAUAGCAUGUGGAUAGGAUACAUGGCGGCACUUGGUGAAGUUUAUACUGCUUUGUCCUCUUACAUACUGUCCUGAAUAUAAAAGAAUGUCUUUCUUAGAAAAUAUUAACACCUUGGUGCAAUCUGUCUUUUCCUGAGUCAGCAAGCUCUCAGUGCAAAUGACAAAGGCUCAUUUUCCCUACCUCUCUCAACAAGUUAGAAACAUCCUAGUUGUGUCCAUGGUGGCCUUAAAAAGUCCAUACUCAAGCUUCUCUAAAUUCACUCUUGAUUUUUGCCCCCCUUUUCAGUUCUUUUUAGGUUUUAGUUGUAGUUCUAUACCAUUCAUCCCUCUCCCACUUCUCUGCAACUUUAUGGCAAUUCACAGUUCUCUUCUUGACCAAUAUUUGCACUAAGCAGCUUCAGAAUGCUCUGGACACAGUUUACAUGCACACAUCUUUUCUACUGUGCUAGACAUAGGAUUAAUACCUGCUGCCAACAGUGGACAUAUUCUUGUAUCUAGCUGAUACAGAUGCAUAGUUGUAAUUGCUGCGAUCUAAAAGAUGACACAUUUUACACCUACUGUUACAGUGCCUCCCGGAUUAUCUGUUGAGUCAUUUUAUUCCUGUCCAUGAGCCUUCUUCAGUACCAAUCUAAGUUGCCCUCAUUUUGCUUCUAGCAUACUGCAGUAAUCUUAUCUACCCACAUAUACUCAGAUCAAUUUCUAAUCAUUUGUUCAUACAACAGCCAUAUUGAUUUUUCCAAAGCACACAUAUCAUGGUAGUUCUUGGCUUAAAACCAUUCUGGCUUCAUUUGAUUUUAGAAGAUAAUGACAUGUCUUAAGUUCCUAAGUCCAAAGGUGGCCUAACCCUUGCCUAUGUGUAUGUCCCCUACCAUAUGCUCCCUCACUUUCCCUGUUAUCACAAUGCACCUCUCUUUGUCUCUUAAUUCUCAUGCACUCUCCCACUUUUGCCCAUUUAAUUUCCUAAUUCUAUUUAUCCUUCAGAUUUUAACUUAAAUGUCACUAAUAGGAGAAGCCUUCCAUUUUUAUUAAAAAUCUCCAGCUCUGCUCGCAUCACUCUUCAUAUGAUUGGUUAUUGUGGUUUUCUUAUUAAAGCUCAGAAAGGACCUCAUCUUUUUAGUGUUCAUUAAUGUAUCCCCAGUACUUGUGUCUGAAAGUAGUACAUGUUGAGUGGAUGAAUGGGGAUGGAAGAGGAACAAGUGGGGAAGGGUUUAACUGUGCAAGGCAGCCUUGGAAAUGGAAAGCAAUGCUGAAGAAUUAACUUCAGCACAACCAGAAAAAUGUUACAAUGCCUUGUGCCCAACUCGAAGGGGUGCAUAGAGGUAGGGUUCACAGCACUGUCUUUCAGUUUAGUAGUUCACAAUCUCAAUGUCACCCUCCAACAAGGCCCUCUAUGAUCGGUGUUUAAUGCUUUAAGUCUGAUAAUGGGGCAUCAUCCAAAGAAGGAUGUGUCCAUUGGGGUUAACCUGUUUUUUAAUCCAAUUUUCCUUAUAAGGUUCACUCUUAGCAGCUUUCCUACCCCUCACUCCACCCCCCAAAAUCUAACCUAGGGCACUCUACCAUUGAACUACAUCCCCAGGCCUUUAUAUUUUUUUCCUUUUUUGUGUGUGGAACUCAGGACCUUGCGCUUUCAAGGCAGGUGCGGUGCCACUGAGCUAAAGCCCUGGCCCCCUUUUUUAUUUUGAGACAGUCUUGCUAAAUUACCCAAGCUGGCCUCAAACUUGUGAUCCUCCUGCCUCAGCCUCAGCUUUCUGAGUAGUUGGUAUUAUUGCUGUGCACCACUCACACAUCUUGAGUAUCUAUAGCUUGAAGACUUACCAAAAAUGUGAAUAUGCCUGUUGAAACACUUCUCUGAUAAAGAAAUAGAAUAUUACAAACCUCCCUCAUCCGCUCAUUACUCCCACUAGAUUGCCACUCUUGUAUCAUCAUGGACAGGUUUUGCACAUUUCUGAACAAUAUAUAAAUGGAAGAGUAUUGAUUGUGCUGCUGAUGUUUGGGGUAGUCCUGAGAGCAGAGCUUGAGAAAAAAAAAAAACUUGGAGCAUUAGUUCACUUGAGUGAACUUGGAGGGAGAAAUGGGAGAAGGGGCAGUUAGGGAGGAAAAACCAACAUAAGGAUAUGUUACUGAGGUUGGAUACCUAAUGCUUUCCUAUAUUGUCUGACAGAGAAGAGUAUGGAAAGCUGGAAUAUUUACUAGCUUCUGUUCCCAACUGAUUGGAGGAUUCCUCCUGAGGAGGUUAACUUCCCUGUAAUUCUUAGCUAUAACUGGUCUUAUUAAGCUGUAGCAGCAUUGAAAACCAGUGGAUUUUCAGUUUGGCACAUCAUUAUUAUGAACAUUCUCAUACAUGGUUGUGAGAACAUUCUCAUAUAUGCUUGUCUCUUGGGUUAUAUAAAUCAGACGGAACUGCUUGGUCAUAGAGUAGGCAUAUAUUUAGUUCUAGUAGAUAUUGCCAAAAACUAUAAUGUGAUUGUACUAACACAUUCUCGGUAGCUAUAAAUGAACAUUUCAGUUCUACAUUCUUUUCAGCCCUUGGUAUUGUCGAUUCUUUUAUCUUUAGGCUUUUUAAUGGGUGUAUACUGUUACCUAAUUUAGUGUGUGUUUGCUUUUUGGUAAGCUUUCUGAAGUAUAAUUUCCAUGAAGUGCACAAAUCGUGUACAACUGUUAAGUUUUCACACAGAAACAGAGAAACACACACACACAGAGCAAGAAAUCAAGAUUGGGGGCCAGGGAUUUAGCUCAGUGGUGCUGGUGCCUGCCUGGCAAGUGCAAGGUCCUGAGUUCAAUCCCCAGUACUGAAAAAAAAAAUCAAGAUUGGAAUUCACCAGCACUCAAGAAAUCUCAUGCAUGCUGUCUUGUGGUUUCUACACCACUAUUCCAAGGAUGUCUGUUCUUCUAACUGCAUAGAUUUGUUUUGACUGUUCUUGAGCUUCAAAUAAGCGGAUGUUAUUUGGCUUCUUUGAUUCAACACCAUGUCUAUAUAAUGCAUCUAUGUAGUGUUGCAUGUUGUAGUUUGUUCAUUCAUACUGCUAUAUUGGAUUGUAUAAGUAUACAACAGUUUGUUCAUUUUGCUAGUAGGCAUUUGAGCUGAUUCUAAUUUUGGCUAUUAUGAAUAAAAGUGCUAUGAACAUCCUAGCAGUGUCUUGUUGAACAUAUGUAUAUUUUUCUGUUGGCUAUAAAACUAAAAAUGAAAUUACCAAG